rnacentral:miRNA from 1 species
UGUGAGCAAGUCAUUCUGGCC